rnacentral:tRNA from 1 species
GGGCCCGUAGCUCAGAUUGGUAGAGCAGCAGGCUCAUAACCUGUCGGUCGGGCGUUCAAAUCGCUCCGGGCCCACCA